rnacentral:tRNA from 1 species
GCGGGAGUAGUUCAACUUCAGAACACAUUCCUUCCCGAAUGAGGUAUAGGUAAGUCCUAUCUUCCGCUCCA